GGUGGUGGGGGAUGUUACCAUAAUGGGGAUGGCAACUACAGAAAUGCAUGUCGCAGACAAGUGAGAAACACAGAUCCACACAGGAUGUGUAUUUUGGUGUGUGUC